ACUGAACAUGUUAAAGCUCAUGGAACUACUAUGUGAAGGGUGUAAUACAAGGAUGUUUAAUAUAAUCCUGGGUCUGUUUUCAUUAAUGGUUAAUAAUUGUUCUAGAUUAUUUUCCUCGUAAUAAUAAUGAUGAUUGUGAAAUGGUUAAUAUAUUGUAUAGUUAUUUAUUAGGUGAUAAUCUGAAAUGUUAAAUAUAUGAAAUACAUCAGUACGUGCUCUUUUCUUUGAAUAGUCUUCUGUUGAUAUUGAACCUAUAUCAAAAUAUAUCCUUCUCACAUUCUGCUUUCUCUCUUCCAAUCUUUCAGUUCACCAUUCCUUGUUACACCUAAAAACAAAUGAUUAUGAUGAGUUGGAUGACGUAACUAGUUUACAUUGGAAGAAGGAUAAGAAGCAGAAUGUAGGCAACAUUCAACUGGUCAAUGAAACUUACAUAUAUGUUCCACAGGAUGGGGUUUACCAAAUAAACUGUGCAGUGCAAUUGCACGUUCCAAAAAAUACUUCUAUAGCACUUAUAACCCUGUUAUUUCAGAAAAAGAAUGGAACAAAAUAUAAAUAUUUAAAAAAGAGUUCAAAAUCCUUAGAAAAGGUAUCAGAACAUGCUAUAAUACAAUCAUCGUUUACACACCAAUUUAAAGCAAAUGAUACCAUGCUUUUGAAGAUGAACAAGGCAAAAUUCAUCAGCCGCAAUGAACCCUCAAGCUAUUUGUCUAUCACCAGUUUACGUAUAAAUGAUCCUCAAUAAAAUGUUAGUGUUGUACUUUAGUUACAGAUAAACUGUUUUUCUAAGAGCUUCUCUUUGACCAUAAAACAUCUUGUGUAUAAGAGAUUCUUUUGCUUUCUUUUGUUCUGUUAUCAGUAGUUUGUGGUUAUGUUGAAGCAUUUCUUUGGAGAUAAUCUUUAUAUCCAAGGUGCCCAUAUUUAACUGACUACAAAAAUUAUCUUUUGGUAUUAACACUGCUUGCAUCACUAAUGAUUAACUUUGGAGAUUCAUUUAAUUCUAUCAGCCUCUUUGUCUUUUCUCUAGUCCUUUGUUGUUCUCAUAUGAUACAAAAACGCGAAUCGGAGAUUACUGUAAGAGAAGACUAUUCGGACAAUCACAGAGUAUUUUUGUUUAAAUGCACGCAAAGACACCUGCCAGUUUUUACAUGUUUACAUGACAUACCGUUGAUUCACCAUCAUCGAUUAUUUUUUAAUCAUUAAAAACUUCAUAUCUGAAAACA